rnacentral:rRNA from 1 species
AACGAACGCUGGCGGCAUGCCUAACACAUGCAAGUCGAACGAGACCUUCGGGUCUAGUGGCGCACGGGUGCGUAACGCGUGGGAACCUGCCCUUAGGUUCGGAAUAACUCCCCGAAAGGGGUGCUAAUACCGGAUAAUGUCUUCGGACCAAAGAUUUAUCGCCUUUGGAUGGGCCCGCGUUGGAUUAGCUAGUUGGUAGGGUAAAAGCCUACCAAGGCGACGAUCCAUAGCUGGUCUGAGAGGAUGAUCAGCCACACUGGGACUGAGACACGGCCCAGACUCCUACGGGAGGCAGCAGUGGGGAAUAUUGGACAAUGGGCGAAAGCCUGAUCCAGCAAUGCCGCGUGAGUGAUGAAGGCCUUAGGGUUGUAAAGAUCUUUUACCCGGGAUGAUAAUGACAGUACCGGGAGAAUAAGCUCCGGCUAACUCCGUG